GAGAACGGGUUUAGUUUACUAAACUGUCAGCUAAGUGGCGCACGGGUGAGUAAUGUAUAGUUAACCUGCCCUCUAGAAAGGAAUAACAGUUGGAAACGACUGCUAAUGCCCUAUAUGCCCAUAAUACAUAAGUAUGCUGGGGAAACGCUUUAGUGCUAGAGGAUGGGACUGUAUGGUAUCAGAUAGUUGGUGAGGUAAUGGCUCACCAAGUCAAUGACGCCUAACUGGUUUGAGAGGAUGAUCAGUCACACUGGAACUGAGACACGGUCCAGACUCCUACGGGAGGCAGCAGUGGGGAAUAUUGCACAAUGGAGGAAACUCUGAUGCAGCAACGCCGCGUGGAGGAUGACACUUUUCGGAGCGUAAACUCCUUUUAUAUAGGAAGAUAAUGACGGUACUAUAUGAAUAAGCACCGGCUAACUCCGUGCCAGCAGCCGCGGUAAUACGGAGGGUGCAAGCGUUACUCGGAAUCACUGGGCGUAAAGAGCGUGUAGGCGGGUUAUUAAGUCAGAAGUGAAAUCCUAUGGCUCAACCAUAGAACUGCUUUUGAAACUGGUAACCUAGAGUAUGGGAGAGGUAGAUGGAAUUUCUGGUGUAGGGGUAAAAUCCGUAGAGAUCAGAAGGAAUACCGAUUGCGAAGGCGA
rnacentral:rRNA from 1 species